CCAACAUCCAAAAGAAUUCAAAAUCUGAAAUACUUCUGGUCCCAAGCAUUUCAUAUAAGGGAUACUCAACCUAUAGCAGGAUAUCUAUACAGGAUUAUUAAAAAUAUGGGUUUUAUUUAAAACACACUAUAUCACUAUACGAUUGCUUAUAUGCAGUUAUUUUAUAUGUAUACAUGAAUCCCCCCCACACACAGAGAGAUACACACACAUAAUUUUAAAAUACCUGGAGGAUAAAUCAGAACACCUGAGGGAGAAUAAUCCAGUAAGAUAGGGAUAAAUUGGGACUUUCUCUUUGAUUUUAUUUUUCUGCAUUAUAUUACUUUUGUAAUACAAAAGAAAAAAUAAGAAGAAGGUAGUUAGUAAAAUUGAAUAAGACAGUGCAUGUAAAAAUUGGGUGUGAGAAGAGAAAGAGCAGGUGGCCUGUGUACCUGUGGACCUUCCAGGUUAACUGGAAAAUCUCACAUAUGUACGUAUACAUGCAUUUUUCUUUUCUAAAAGAUGUUCUGUCGCUUUUAUCAAUUCUUAAGAGCAAUCCACCAGGCACAGUGGCUCAUGCCUGUAAUCCCAGCACUUUGGGAGGCUGAGGCGGGCGGAACACAAGGUCAGGAGUUCGACACCAGCCUGGUGAAACCCUAUCUCUACUAAAAUUACAAAAAUUAGCUGGGCGUAGUAGCACACGCCAGUAGUCCUAGCUACUCGGGAGGCUGAGGCAGAAGAAUCACUUGAACCUAGGAGGCAGAAGUUGCAGUGAGCCAAGAUCCCACCAUUGCACUCCAGCCUGGGCGACAGUGCUAGACUCCGUCCAAAAAAAAAAAGAGGUCCAAAAAAGUUAGAAGCACUGAUGUAUACUAUGUUUUCAAGAAGUUUGACCAUAAAGGAAAACAGACAUGGAAGCCACUUGAAGGGAAAAGGAUGUCAGGAAGGUACCUGUAAACUUGGGAUAAACAUCAUGCCAGAUGAGGCUGCAGAUCUUUCAGAAUCUUCUGAAAGAUUCUGUAUUAAUCUAAACCAAGGAAAAUGUGGCCACUUUCAUAGGCAAUCAGUCAAGUUUUCUAGCAGCAAAUUUACCCAUUGAGCUUUGCACCUUACUGAAAGUUUGUCUGAGUAUGAGAUUCUAGUAUGCAAAUCAUUUCGCCUCAGGAUGUGGAAGGCAUCUUUCCACUGGUGUUUGAUUCCCGUAGCUGCUGAGCAGGAGUUUGAGGUCAAGUUCAUCUUAAAUCCUUUGCAUAUAACCUAUUCUCUCUCCCUGUCUCUCUCUCUCCCUCCCUGCCUCUUCCCACUCCCCACCCCAACAUGCCUUUAAUAUCGUCUCAUUAUCCCUGGUAUCCUGAGUUUCAUGAUGAUAUGCAUUGAUGUGGGGCUGGGGGGAUUUGUCCACCAUUGCGCUAAGCACUUCAUGUUUCUUCCAGCCUAAAAAAUCCCCCUCCUUCCAUUUUGGUAAAUGUCUGUGAUGAUUUCCUCUCUCUCUCUUUUCUAUUUCUGGAACUCCUCUUUUAUCAGAUGUAUCUCCUUGAAUAGUCUUUGAAUUUUCUUCUUGUAUAUCCCUUUGUUUUUCUGUUCCACUUUCUGGAAGAGUUCCUCAACACCGUUUCUCAAACUCCUAUUGAGUUUUUUACUUAGGCCACAUAUUUUUCUUUUCUAAGAGCUCUUUCACAUACCUUAAAAGUUAUCUUUUUAACAUCUCACCAUUGGCUAUUUCUUUGUUUUUUUGCAUUUUCUUUGAGUUGUCUUUGUUUUUCUAAUGCAUUGUACUUCUUUCCCUGAGUUCCUUUUUUCUGUUUGUUGCUGUUUUGUUUGUUUGCGUGCUUGUGUCUUCCCAACAGAGGCUUUCCCCAGCUGCUCAGGUGUCUAGGGCCAUCUCUUUCACUAAUUAAGGCCCCAGUCGGCUGGCUGGAAGCUCAGUGUGGAUGACCAGAGGUUGUCAUAGGAUCACUUCACUGUAGGUUUAUCAGAUGGGUACCUGGUGGUCUUAUGCCAAUUAAUAGGUCAUUUUUCUUUGGUUUCUCAGUUUCACCAAAGAAGAAUCCUUUGACAUUCUGGGUAACGGGCAUAAUCCUGGUGGCAACAUUCCCAAAACUGAGUGGAGGGCUGAGUGGGAGGGAUCUGACUAUUCAGAAAGCAGGUUUUCACUUAAUUCACCUGCUCUCCAUCUAGGUUCUGUGUCCUCAACUCCGACUGGAAUCUCCAAGUUCAGAGCCUCCUGGGUCAGUGUCUCCAAGGAGUAACUCUCCUGCCUUCUGCAGGGUGGCUGUGCCACACCCUGGCCUUUGGUGCUUCUGAUUGCAAGUCUCCUGGGGUUCCGUGUGACCAUUGUUGCAGCUGUAAAACAUGGUUCCACAGUUCUCGAUGCUCUUCUAUUGAGAGGUAAGGGUCUAUGGACCCUUCAAUCUGGCAGGCUUGUGACUGCUUCAAACAACAGAUUAUGGUUAAAAGAAGGGCAAUGUGACAUCUGCAUCUAGGUCAGAAAAGGCCAAGCAGCUGUCACCUAGAGACUUGGAAUGUUCCCUCUGCGCACUUAGCCACCAUGCUGUGAGGAAGCCCCACCACAUGAAGAGGCCACGAGGAGAUACUCUGUUGACAGCUCUAGCUGAGUCUAGCUUUUGAGUAUUCCCAGCAGGGGCUCCUGACACAGUGGAUCAGACAUAAGUGUACCAUAGGUUGGGGGAAAGAGUGAUCCACACAAACCUCCAGGGACUCAGACUUGCCCUCCUCAGUGGCCCUGUCACCACCAUAUCCUCGGAGGUCUCCAGGCCCUCUUUGUCUGUCCAGCAAAUGAGAGGAGAGAACCUGAAGGAAGACACAGAGAAUUUAAAAAGCUGCCACAUCCGCCCACAUCCUCUGUGCAGAACUCCAUCCCAGGGCCACGGUGGCCUGCAGCAGAGGCUGGAAACCCAUGAAGAAGAGGGUAAAGAGUGAAUACAUGCACUGAGCUUCCUGUUUGGAAGCAGAGAGAAGUAAAUAAGAAGUCCAGGUGCCCAGGGCAGAAGCUGCAAAAUGACAGCAGGCCCAGCGCCGACGGGAAGCAAGUAUGACUUUCCAUGGGCCCACAAGCAGCUCUGAGGUCCUGAGCCUGGCUGGUCUGUGACUGUGGAACAGUAAGAUUCAGGGUUCCAGGAGUGUGAUGGCCAAGAAUCCACACCACCCCUGCCCCAGGCAAAGGACUCAGCUUUCAGCUGCAAGAACUCCACAGAAGCCUAUAUAGGGUCUUGGAAGACAGCAGGGCGUCUGCCAACAGAGUCCCGUCUCUCUCUUCUCCUCCCCCUCACUCCUCUCUCCACUGCUUCACUGGACUUUGAAAAAUAUCAUGGAAGGGGUCAUUGGGUCUAGGGCCAAGAAAGGGGCUAAAAACCUCCAUCCUGG
rnacentral:lncRNA from 1 species